rnacentral:rRNA from 1 species
AACGCACGCUAGUGGGCAGCAGCACAUGAGAAAUCAAAGUCUUUGGGUUCCGGGGGGAGUAUGGUCGCAAGGCUGAAACUUAAAGGAAUUGACGGAAGGGCACCACCAGGAGUGGAGCCUGCGGCUUAAUUUGACUCAACACGGGAAAACUUACCAGGUCCGGACAUAAAAAGGAUUGACAGAUUGAGAGCUCUUUCUUGAUUCUAUGG